rnacentral:lncRNA from 1 species
CGGGGCUGCGGCGGCUAGGAGAGUGAUCCCCUGAAAGAUUUUGGAGAAUUUCCUGAUUGGCACUUUGAAAACUGCUGCUGUAACCAAUUCUGUGAUGACUGCUGACUUGAUGUGUGCUUAAGACACAGACAUCUACAGAAGGAAGACCAUGUGAAAAUACAGGGAGAAGAAAGCUAUCUGUAAGCCAAGAAGUGAGUAAGGCCUCAGAAGAAAGCAAAGCCUGCCAACACCUGGAUCUUGGAUUCUGGCCUCCAGAAUCAUAAGAAAAUACGUUUCUGUUGUUUAAGCUACUUGGUCUGUGGUACUUGGUUACAGUAGCCCUAGCAAACUCAUAUGAUUCUUUGAUGAGGGGAAAGAACUGUUGAAAGCAUUUAGUUAUAAAUAAUGAAUCAGGAAACAAAGGGCCAAUAAUGACAUAAUGAACUCCUUAAGCUGGGGUUUCCAAGGAUUGACAGUGUGAGUCUCCAUACACCAUACUCUCUAGAGUGCUGGGGGAAAGAAAACCUCCUCCAGUCAUUUUUCUCAGAGUGUCUGAGUUCAAAGAGAAUUCUCUGCUGCAGUGGUCUGUGUGGCUUCCUAAACAGGGACAUGGCCCUGGGCUGCAUGCCCAGAACAAUACAAGAUUGGCUGCCUGUCAUUACAAGAAACAUUUAUUGACUGCUUAUUAUAUGCCAGCUACAGUCUACUUACUUUACAUGAACUUACGGAUUUAUUCUUCAUGAUAAUCUUAACAAGUAGCCACUGCUAUUCUCCAUUUUGCAGAUGAAAUACUGAGGCUCAGAGACUUUGCCCAAGGUAACACAGCUGGCAAGUGGCAGCACUGGGAUUUAAACUCAGCCAGGCUUACUCCACAGAUUUUUUUCUUAUCUUCCAUGGUAGACUGUACAGUCCAAGCCAGGGAAAAGGCCUAGAUUGAGAGAGCAAAGUACAGCAGCAGCUAUAGUGUGGCUUUCUUGGGCUUAGGAGAGAAACAUCUUUAUGUUCAAGGUUUUACAAAGAAUUCUUCUGAAGACUUUGAGUCUACUUUCUGACCUGGCACUUCAAUUCAGCUCAGCACACAUUAAUCGAGUGCCUCUUAUGAUCUAGGAAUCCAUGCAAGGCACGAAGCACAGAAAGACAGGCAAGGAAUUUCAUCUGUAGACCCUGUUGACUCAUGGCUCUAAAC